GCUCAGGAUGAACGCUAGCGGCAGGCUUAACACAUGCAAGUCGAGGGGCAGCGGGGGUAGCAAUACCCGCCGGCGACCGGCGCACGGGUGAGUAACGCGUAUGCAACCUACCCACUACAGGGGAAUAACCCGGAGAAAUUCGGACUAAUACCCCAUAUACCCACAGGCUGGCAUUGGCCAAUGGGGAAAGGAGCAAUCUGGUAGUGGAUGGGCAUGCGUAUCAUUAGAUAGUUGGCAGGGUAACGGCCUACCAAGUCUACGAUGAUUAGGGGAUCUGAGAGGAUUAACCCCCACACUGGGACUGAGACACGGCCCAGACUCCUACGGGAGGCAGCAGUGAGGAAUAUUGGUCAAUGGCCGAAAGGCUGAACCAGCCAUGCCGCGUGCAGGACUACGGCCCUACGGGUCUUAAACUGCUUUUGAGAGGGAACAAUAAGGCCUACGUGUAGGCCGACGAGCGUACCUUUCGAAUAAGCAUCGGCUAACUCCGUGCCAGCAGCCGCGGUAAUACGGAGGAUGCAUACCCGGGCUCGAACGGCUAUAGAAUACAGUGGAAACAUUGUAGCCAGCAAUGGCUGUAGUCGAGGUGCUGCAUGGUUGUCGUCAGCUCGUGCCGUGAGGUGUCGGCUUAAGUGCCAUAACGAGCGCAACCCUUGUCGUUAGUUGCCAGCGGGUAGUGCCGGGGACUCUAACGAGGCUGCCAGCGUAAGCUGUGAGGAAGGGGGGGAUGACGUCAAAUCAGCACGGCCCUUACGUCCGGGGCGACACACGUGUUACAAUGGGUGGUACAAAGGGCCGCUACUGGGCGACCAGAUGCUAAUCUCUAAAACCACUCCCAGUUCGGAUCGGAGUCUGCAACUCGACUCCGUGAAGCUGGAUUCGCUAGUAAUCGCGCAUCAGCCAUGGCGCGGUGAAUACGUUCCCGGGCCUUGUACACACCGCCCGUCAAGCCAUGGAAGUUGGGGGUACCUGAAGUACGUGACCGNCAAGGAGCGUCCUAGGGUAAA
rnacentral:rRNA from 1 species